UAGUCCACGCCGUAAACGAUGGAUACUAGCUGUCCGCUGCCUUGAGCAGUGGGCGGCCAAGCGAAAGUGAUAAGUACCCCACCUGGGGAGUACGUUCGCAAGAAUGAAACUCAAAGGAAUUGACGGGGGCCCGCACAAGCGGUGGAGCAUGUGGUUUAAUUCGAUGAUACGCGAGGAACCUUACCAGGGCUUAAAUGCAUAACGAUCGGCAUGGAAACAUGCUUUUCUUCGGACGGAAUGCAAGGUGCUGCAUGGUUGUCGUCAGCUCGUGCCGUGAGGUGUCGGGUUAAGUCCCAUAACGAGCGCAACCCCUAUUCUUAGUUGCCAGCGGAUAAUGCCGGGGACUCUAAGAAAACUGCCAGUGUAAGCUGUGAGGAAGGUGGGGAUGACGUCAAAUCAUCACGGGCCCUUACGUCCUGGGGCUACACACGUGCUACAAUGGUCGGUACAGAGGGGCAGCUACCUAGUGAUAGGGAUGCAAAUCUCUAAAGCCGGGCCCUAGUUCGAAUU
rnacentral:rRNA from 1 species